UUUAAAAAUAUUUAUUUAUUUAUUUAGAGAUGGAAUCUCUGUCGCCCAGGCUGAAAUGCAGUGGUAUAAUCAUAGCUCACUGCUCUCUUGGAUUCCUGGGCUCAGGAGAUCCUCCUGCCUCAGCCUUCUGAAUAGCUGGGAAUAUAGGUAUCUACCACCAUGCCCAGCUAAUUUUUUAGUUUUUUUGUAGGGAUGGAAUCUCACUGUCUUGCCCAGGCUGGUCUUGAACUCUUGGGCUCAGAGGAUUCUCCUGCCUUGGCCUCCUAACAUGUUGGGAUUACAGGUGUGAGCCACCAAGCCCAGACUCUUUAUUUUACUUUAUUAUUAUUAUGUUUUGAGAUGGAGUCUGGCUCUGCCACCCAGGCUGGAGUGCAGUGGCAUAAUCUUGGCUUACUGCAGCUUCAGCCUCCCAGGUUCAAGUGAUUGUUGUGCCUUAGCCUCCUGAGUAGCUGGGAUUACAGGCAUAUGCCACUAUGCCUGGUUAAUUUUCAUACUUUUAUUAGAGAUGGGAUUUCAUCAUGUUGCCCAAGCUGGUCUUGAACGCUUGACUUCAGGUGAUCUACCUGCCUCAGCUGCCCAAAGUACUGGGAUUACAGGCAUGAGCCACUGAGUCCGGCCUUUUGUGUUUUUUUUUUUUUGAAUUGGGGGUCUUAUUCUAUUGCCCAGGCUGGAAUGCAAUAGUGAGAUCACGGCUCACUACAGCCUUGACCUCCUGGGCUCAAGUGAUCCUCCCACCUUAUCAUCCUGAGUAGCUGUGACUAUAGGCAGCUACCACCAUGCCAAGCUAAUUAACACUUUUUUUUUUUUUGUAGAGAUGGGAUCUCCCUGUGUUGCCCAGGGUGGUCUCAAACUCCUGGGCUCAGGUGAUCCUCCCACCUUGGCCUCCCAAAGUGCUGGAAAUUACACAGAGUUUCACUCUUGUUGCCCAGGCUGGAGUGCAAUGGCACAAUCUCAGCUCACUGCAGCCUCCACCUCCCAGGUUCAAGCAAUUCUCCUGCCUCAACCUCCUAAGUAGCUGGGAUUACAGGUACACCAUUCCCAGCUAAUUUUUUGUAUUUUUAGUAGAGACGGGGUUUAUACCAUGUUGGCCAGGCUGGUCUUGAACUCCUGACCUCAGGUGGUCCACCUGCCUUGGCCUCCCAAAGUGCUGGCACGAGUCACGGCAGUUGGGCUGAUUUCUAAUUCUAAAAGCCAUUUGUAGGUAAAUGAUUAAAGCUUUUUAAAAUCGGUUUUGUGUUUUUUUUUUUAAACAGAAGAAAAUGAAGCUUAUUAAAGUUGAAUGAGUCAUCCAAGGCCAUAUAGCUGGUUGGCAGCUGAACUGGGGUUUGAACCCAAGUUUUUCUUCCACACCAUGCAGCAUUUACUAUAUAGAAAAAUAGCUGAAUAAAUUUCUCUUGUUAUUUUAGCCAAAUUUCAUUUGUAAAAUCCCAGAAGUGGCCUACUAUUCUGAUAUGGCAAUAUGUAUCUUUCAUGAUCUGAAUAAACAACAGAGAAAAUCCACUGUAUUCUUAUGAGUUUGGAAAACAAAGUGUUAUCACAGAUAACACUAAGCUAUUCCUGUCCUCAGUUCCCGUGAUUUUGAACCUGUUAUUCAGAACAAGAAGCCCUGUGCUUCAAAUACAAGCCAGAACAUUCUAUUUAGUGCAAACACAAGAUCCAAAACUCCAUUUUAAAAAUGGAGUUUCUGUACAGUAAGAAAUGGAGUUUUCUGUACUGUAAGAAUCCAGCCUGCAUUUGUCAGUGGCAGAGAGACUAGUGAAGAGAGAGGUCCCUGAAGAGGUCA
rnacentral:lncRNA from 1 species